CAGGUGAGUAGGGUAGGGCUAGCAUCACUCGUGACUUUAAUUCUUCAAACUGCUCUUGGUAUUCAGCAAUUGUUUCUUUCUGCCUCAGUUUACUAAAGACUUCAAUCACCUCAUCUGUAUUGGGACGGCUGGUUAUGAAUCCGUGGAACCAUAUAUCCGCUUUACCCUUUAAAUACAUCUUAGCUAUGCCCACUUUCAAGUCAUCCGGCACUUGAUGUAUCUGAAAAUACUUUCGUGCCUUCCUCAACCGCUCCCUAGGGUCUUCCCCAUUGAAGUAAGGGAAGUCAAUCUUAGGAAUUUUAGCAUUCAACCUGUAAUCACCCUUACCACUUCCUUGAGCUGAAGAGUUCCCUGUUCCAGACGUUUUUAUGCUACCACCAGUUGAAACUGGGUCAUGUGGCUUUCUAUUUGUAUCCCUUUGCCAUUAUUCCCAUUCAUCUUAGCCAUCAUAGCCACUAAGGAUUCAUUUUUGUCAUUCAUUUCCAGCAUCAGCACUUCCAAUUUGUCCUGUUUGCUGCACAUAAGUUUCACAGAUUGCUUAGUACUUUGGUAAACCGUACCUAAAUCUGCCUACUCCUUAUCUAUCCUCUUAAUCUGUUCUUCAUGGGUCUUGCUUCGAGUAUCCAUUCCCAAUUCACGUCCUGCUCUGAUACCAAAUGUUAUAGUUGGGAUUCAAUUUCCUUCCAACUCCAACUACCAAUAGCAAAAUAAUGAAACUGCAAUCAAAUGAAGUUGUCC
rnacentral:lncRNA from 1 species